rnacentral:lncRNA from 1 species
UCCUUUCUUCCUUUCUUCCUUUCUUUCUUCCUUUCUUCCUUUCUUUCUUUCUUCCUUUCUUUCUUCCUUCCUUUCUUUCUUUCUUUCUUUCUUCCUUUCUUCCUUUCUUCCUUUCUUCCUUUCUUCCUUUCUUCCUUUCUUCCUUUCUUUCUGCCAGCUGCCACGAGGCGCUGUGUCCUCCUUUCUUCCCCAGGCUGUCCCUGAGGUGAGGCGCCGCCAUCUUGGCCGCUGGGCCCAGCCGUGCCCUGCUGUGGGGCCGUUGGGGCUGGCAUGGGGCAGCCAUCGCCACAUGCAGCAACAACGCAGAUAUGGGCACCCACACGCAUGGGCACCCGCACCGAGCACAAAGUUAUAUUCAGAAGGCCACAACAAAUUUUGGCUGACAAUGUUCUUUCAAUCUUACUCAGUGGAAGUUUUUAACAUUGAGCAAGUCCAUCUGUCUCAAGGUGAUUGCAACAUUUAAGAGUGGGAUAGGUUCCUG